UCGCGUCAGGUGUGAAAGUCCAUCGCCUAACGGUGGAUCUGCGCCGGGUACGGGCUGGAGUGCGGUAGGGGAGACUGGAAUUCCCGGUGUAACGGUGGAAUGUGUAGAUAUCGGGAAGAACACCAAUGGCGAAGGCAGGUCUCUGGGCCGUUACUGACGCUGAGGAGCGAAAGCGUGGGGAGCGAACAGGAUUAGAUACCCUGGUAGUCCACGCCGUAAACGGUGGAUGCU
rnacentral:rRNA from 1 species